rnacentral:snRNA from 1 species
AUACUCUGGUUUCUCUUCAGAUCGUAUAAAUCUUUCGCCUUUUACUAAAGAUUUCCGUGGAGAGGAAAAUGUGUUUGUGUAACACAAUUUC